rnacentral:lncRNA from 1 species
AAUGCUUUCUUGACCACUUACAAGAGCCAUCAGCCUUGGUAACGAGAUUGGCUCUUGGAUGAAUGAAGGCCUUAGAUCUAGAUUAGGGAUCUUAAAAAUUAAGGGUGGAAAUGUAGCCACCCUUCUACAAGCCUCCAUUCAAUUGUAUAAGAGAGGCUUGGUUUUCCAAGCCCUCUCUCUCUCGUCUUUUUAGUGAAGGGCAAAGCCAUGCCAAAAUUUGGCCAAAACCCUAAUCUUAAUUUUAUUUAGAUGUUAAUUCUCAUUGUGAACCUUGUGAUUGUAUAUGUAUGGAUUUUGAAUUGUGAAGGAUGGUCAUUAAGUUUUAAAAUAGGUUUCAUUGAAGUAGAUAUCUCUUCGGCCUUUCAAAUAUCCCAAGGGUUUUAAGUGCCUCGGAUUUUCUUCAAUCAGUCACUCAACUUCUAUUUUUUCAAUGUGAGAUUCUGAAUAGUUGUAGCU